rnacentral:rRNA from 1 species
GAUGAACGCUGGCGGCGUGCCUAAUACAUGCAAGUCGAGCGAACAGACGAGGAGCUUGCUCCUCUGACGUUAGCGGCGGGCGGGUGAGUAACACGUGGAUAACCUACCUAUAAGACUGGGAUAACUUCGGGAAACCGGAGCUAAUACCGGAUAAUAUAUUGAACCGCAUGGUUCAAUAGUGAAAGACGGUUUUGCUGUCACUUAUAGAUGGAUCCGCGCCGCAUUAGCUAGUUGGUAAGGUAACGGCUUACCAAGGCAAUGAUGCGUAGCCGACCUGAGAGGGUGAUCGGCCACACUGGAACUGAGACACAGUCCAGACUCCUACGGGAGGCAGCAGUAGGGAAUCUUCCGCAAUGGGCGAAAGCCUGACGGAGCAACGCCGCGUGAGUGAUGAAGGUCUUCGGAUCGUAAAACUCUGUUAUUAGGGAAGAACAAAUGUGUAAGUAACUAUGCACGUCUUGACGGUACCUAAUCAGAAAGCCACGGCUAACUACGUG